CCCUUAGAUGUUCUGGGCCGCACGCGUACUACACUGAGUAAAUCAAUGGGUAAGGGAACACGAAAGUGCAACCUAAUCUUGAAAUUUGCUCGUGAUGGGGAUCGACGGUUGCAAUUUUCCGUCGUGAACGAGGAAUACCUUGUAGGCGCGUGUCAUCAUCGCGCGCCGAAUACGUCCCUGCCCUUUGUACACACCGCCCGUCGCUCCUACCGAUUGAGUGAUCCGGUGAGGCUCUGGGACCUGGACGGAAAGAGCGUUUCGCUUGUUCUGUUUGGGAAACUUGGUCGAACCUUAUCAUUUAGAGGAAGGAGAAGUCGUAACA
rnacentral:rRNA from 1 species